rnacentral:RNase_P_RNA from 1 species
AUAUGUUAUAUUUAUUAUAAAUAUAACUUGUAUAUAGUACAAAGGUACAAACCUUGGUUCUUUGCAGAAAAUACAUAUUAUACUUUUAUGUUUGUAUCUAAAAAUAGAUAA